CUGGCCAGAGUGUUAUGAUGUUAGCUAUGCAGUUUACUUUGCAAGUCUAAAACUUUUAUCCACAAACACACCCACCCAACCAAAGCAGAUAAGGUGGACUGAUACAUAAGCAUUGCCACUCAUUAUUGGUUCCACCACCUAUUACCUAGAAAGCAGCACAGAUGGAUUUCCGGCUUCUGCUUUAAAUACCUUCAGAGAGCAAGAGACCAUCACCUGCCAAGUGUGGGCCUACAUGCUGUUUACAUCUCCUGAAGCUACCCUAAAACCUCCUCUUGAAGCAUCACCAACAUUCUUUUGUCCUCUCUUCACUGAGGCCUGAUCAGAGAUCCAGCCUAGCUGAAUCACCCUACCUGCUGAAUCCAGGACUGACCCAGAGAAUCCUAAUGACAGAGACAACAUAAGCAUCAAUUCCUCACCAUCAAUCACUUUUGGAAGGUCAACUGUGCUGAAUUAUUGAUAAACAACAUUUCACAUAAUCUUUCUUUAAUACUUGCAUUGAUCAUUAAGGUUUGUUUAAAAUGUAUUUGCAUGUUGUAAGAUAAGAAAAAGAGAUUUUAUAUAGAGAUAUUAAAGACAGACGUAAGAUAAAUUUGUUUACUGAUGAUAUUUUGUUAGCAAUAGAAAAUACUUUAAGUUGAAGAGAGGAUCAAAUUAUAUUGAAAUAAUUUGGAGAAGUAACCGGGUUGCAAACAAAUCGGCAUAGACCAGAAAUGCUGUUUUUUAACUAUGACAAAGAAAAAAGAAAAAAAUAGAAAAGAGCUGCAUACUAAUAUUCAAAAGAUUAUUAAGUAUUUAGAUAUAAAUACUCCUAGCAAUUUGAAAAGACUGAAAGAAGAACAUUUAAAUUUAUUGAAACAAGUAAUUACAAAGAAGUUAACUGAUUUAAAGAAAAUUGGGUUGCCAUGGUUUGGCAGAUUCACACCAAGUAAAAUGAAGAUACUAACAAAUAUUAACUUUUUAAUUUAUGAUGCUACCAAUGAAGAUUAAGGAAGAAGAAUUAAAUGAGUGGCAAAAUAUGAUUAAUAAAUUUUGUAAUGAAGAUAAGAAAUCAAGGAUCAAUAAGAAGAGAUGAUAUAACUCAAAAGUAGUGGAGGUUAGGUCAGCCUAAUUUAAAGCUAUUCUAUACUAUAUUGUGUGAGGGUUCAUGUGUUAGUGGGUCAGUCACAUUCAAUAAAGGUUGAGACGGUUUGAACAUUUUAACAGAGUCACUAUUGGAACAUUAUCUUCAACAGGAACUGUUCGUAACGGAACCUUUAACUUCUCUUGCCCCUCAAACCCUGGGAGCAAGGGUGUCCAUGCUUUGCCCACAAAGGGGUUGGUUUCUCCUACAGUCCAAGGUCCAGUUAAAUCCGUCACUGGCCUUUCACUUUUAGGGAUCUCAUUGCCCGGCAGAAUCAAGGGAAGGGUUUCCUCGUCGCCGCUCCAUCCCCAUAAGGGUGACUCCUCUCCGGUGCCUUCAAACCAGGGUCCGGGUAAACCCCCAUCUUCCGCAAGUCCGCCAAAUGCCAUGCCUUUUUCUUUUCUAUCUCCCUAAGCACGGCCUCUCUCUCCUCCCUCAACUUGCGCCUCCACUCCUUUGCCUCAGUUUCACCCCAAUAAGAGGGUCUGGGUUUCAAACCUCGCCUCCUUCGCCUCUCCGCCUCUUCAUGGGGUACUUUCACUUGUUCCCAUUUGCCCGUCCAUGGAUCCUCUGCCCAGAUCCAUUCCCAGCCGCCUGGGAUCUCCUCCCAUUUUCCUCUUAUAUCCCCCAUGGCAGCCUCAAUCUCCUCCCUUCCUUUUCCCGCCAAAACCUUUCCCUCCUGUUUAGCCAGGGUUAACUCCUUCAGCACCUGGGAUAAGUCCUGGGUAUCUACCCCUAUCUGUUUGGUCCCCGGUUCUUCCAGUACUGAUCCUAAUUCCGUGGUGUCAACCUGCUUAUCCACGCGACGGGAUGGAGAAGGAGGGGGUGAGGUUUGAGUAUUUCAGGUCCGCGACAGGAGCAACGGCACUCCUACAUAGGCCUCCUGUACAGGGGCCUCACAUAUUGCCAGACAGUUAAAAUAUAUUUCAGAUGUUAUAUCUCAGCCCAAUAAAUUAAUCUGGUUGACUAUGGAAGGACAAGAACUACAGAUGAAUGUGGUAAAUAGCCUCCUCUUACAAGAUCACAAAAAUAAAAAGAUAGUUUAAAAACUAUAAAAUCCUUUUCUUAGUCGUGUGUUAACAAUAUUGAAUAAAUAUAGAAAAUUAUUUAUACCACCAAUAUCUCCAUUAUGUCUGGUGAAAGAGCUGGAAAAAAUCCCAGAGAAUUUAGAAAAAUGAAUUGAAGACCUUUAGAUAGAGGCUUGAGAUUAAAGGGUUCUCUAGAAAAAUAAAGAACAAGUACAAGAAGUAUUAGGCAAACAUGAAAUGUCUUGGUAUAAUGUUAUUCAAUUAGAACAGUGGACCAAGAAAUAGAUAAAAAGAACGGAUAAACAGAGAAACUACAAAAUAUGAAGAAAUUAUUUUACAGAAGAAAAGCAUAGGAGAGGAGCAGGUGGGAGAGGAGAUAGUAAGUGAAAUGUAUAAUUUAUAGUUGGAAAUGGAAAAUCAGGAGGAUUUACCUAUAACAUUAUAAGAAGGAAAUCUGGGAGAAGAAAUAAGUAGUAGUGCUUGGAAAAAUAUGUGGCAUAUUAGAAUAUUGAUAUUUAGGUCAGUAGGGAUAAAAGGCCUCUUUUAUAAUAUGGAAAUGGUAUCUAGCUCCAAUGAAAUUAAAUCAAAUAGAUGAUAAUUGUUCUGAGAUUUUUGAAGGGAUUGCCAGAAAACAAGCACUUAUGAAAAUAAGUGGUAGGAAUGUGAACUUAUAUAUAAAAUGUUGGCAAUUAGUUUUAAGAAAUAAAUGAAAUAAGCAACUUAAAUUUAGUCAUAUGUUCUAAAAGAGACUUUUAAUCAAUAUUUGGAAGGGAGAUGAUAAGUGGAUGAGGAGAAAACUAGUUUCUAAUAUGUUAGCAGCAUCAAGGCUGAUUAUUGCUAGGAACUCAAAUGGUGAAGUUUGGGAUAUAGCAAUUCAUAAUAAGCUUACAUGUAAUAUUGAAAUUAAGAAGGGGAUAAUUAAUAAAUAUGAGUUUACAGAUAUAUGGGGAGAAUUUAUUGAUUUUGAAUUGAUAAAGGGGAAACAACAAAUAAGACUGUAUACAAUUUUGGAAAGGGAAGGGAGCCUUAGAAGCAUAAGUGGUUCAAGUGGUUACUCUCUAAAGGUCCUGAUGGUGGAGUGCACAUUGUAUGUGGUCUGUCUUCUUUUUUUAAAACUGUGUUUCUUAGAUGUUUUAACUUUUAUCAUUUGUAUUAAAAAAACUGAAAAGGAAACGAAGUGAGUAGACGAAAGGAGGGAAAGUUACAAAUGUAUUUGCAUAUACUGUAUUGUUUUUCUUUGUUUAACUAUAUUACAAUAACUCAAAAUCUGUUAGCCGAUUAAGA